AUUGAAACUAGGAAAACCACAUUUUUGUUGUUGAGAUGACCAUUUAUUUAAUAAAAUUAUUGACUCUACCAGACAGCAUAGUCAAGAGAACAAUGUACUUCAAGUAAGCAGCCUGAAGAUCAAAACCCAGACAAGAUCUCAGGUGGCAGUGGUUAAAGUACAUACAUAAAAGUAAAAGUGAUCAUUAUACUUGUACAAUUUCGUGGCGUUGUUGCCUUUAAACCACAGGUUCCACGGUGUCUACCCAAUUCCGAUUUUUAUAAUCCAAUAAUCCAGCCAAAAAAAGUGUGGCUUACCAUUUCCGAAGGAAUACCAACUGUUUAAAAAAUGUACAAUUGUCUCAAGCAUUAAUUUCUUGGAGUCAUUCACAUUUCGCAUUUUGCGUUCAUUAGUCACCACCAGCUCUUUGUGAGUAAUCGGGCUACCGAUGAUUACACACACCGAAGAUUAAGAGGCUUUUAUUAUUAAUUAGUUGUCGUUCCCAACAGACCUGACUAUUAGACUACUGAGAAUCUGUUAUCAGACACGUUUGAAAUGGAUAUGUCAUGGAGGGAAUUAAAUGGAUGGAGGAAAGAACCUGAAUUUUUGAUCCAUUGAUUAAUUAGUCGUGUCAUAGAGCACAAACAACAAGUAACGACACAGUCGCCAAACAAAAUGGGGAGAAUACUGCAUGUUGUUAUAAUUGCUCCCAUUGUAAAAAUUAUCUCAGCCAGCCAGGUACAUAAGUUUCCUGAUAUCAGACAUCCAUCCAUCCAAUCCACGUGAAAAAUGCGUACCCAACCCACCCAAACAACAAGUGGAUUCUAUAUAAUUGCAAUUUCAAUAAUGAACCAAGAACUUCCUCAAAACGUGUUAUGCUGUGUUUUGCCAUCCACUGACUGAUGAUGAUUAUGGGACAAAAUUGGAUGUAAAUUACGUGAUGAAUUCGGUAAUAAAUGUUCUUCGUACAAAAAACGAGACGGAGUGAGACAAAGAAAACCAAGUGCUAAUUUGUGUUUUGGGUUAAAAAAUCCUGUAAUUUAAUGAGAAUCGGAGGACCUGCUUAAUAAAUAUGUAGUAAUGGCAAUAAGAA